UACAGAGGGGGCGAGCGUUGUUCGGAAUUACUGGGCGUAAAGGGCGCGUAGGCGGCCUGCUAAGUCGAACGUGAAAUCCCCGGGCUCAACCCGGGAACUGCGUCCGAUACUGGUGGGCUUGAAUCCGGGAGAGGGAUGUGGAAUUCCAGGUGUAGCGGUGAAAUGCGUAGAUAUCUGGAGGAACACCGGUGGCGAAGGCGGCAUCCUGGACCGGUAUUGACGCUGAGGCGCGAAAGCCAGGGGAGCAAACGGG
rnacentral:rRNA from 1 species